CACUGGUGACACACAAUCUUAAAGGGAUAGUCUCUCAUUCAUGAUUGGGAUCCAUAGGCUUCCAAAGACCAUAUGUGGGCCUCUAAGAUCGGCACCAUUCACCAACUUGCUUCCCACCGUCUCACCCGAUGUCCAUCACCUGAAAGCCGACGGAGAUUGCCAUGCAGAGCUUAUCACUGCAUCAGACUUCACUCUCCCCCGACCUCCCCAAGGUCCCACUCCAUUCUCACCAGCCACCAACAGUUCUUCAUGUCGAAUCCAAUGAAGUCUAAUACAUUAUGGCCCCUCGAUGUUUGCUGACAUACAACAAGACGAAAUAAAUCAAAGAGCUCUGA